GACGGAGGAUGCAAGUGUUAUCCGGAAUCACUGGGCGUAAAGCGUCCGUAGGUGGUUUAAUAAGUCAACUGUUAAAUCUUGAGGCUCAACCUCAAAAUCGCAGUCGAAACUAUUAGGCUAGAGUAUAGUAGGGGUAAAGGGAAUUUCCAGUGGAGCGGUGAAAUGCGUAGAGAUUGGAAAGAACACCGAUGGCGAAGGCACUUUACUGGGCUAUUACUAACACUCAGAGACGAAAGCUAGGGUAGCAAAUGGG
rnacentral:rRNA from 1 species